UAAAGUUCAAAGAAAGUCAGAGAAAAAACACAAUAAAAAAAAAAAACAUUAGUGGUGAAUCUUAUUAAGUCUUAGAGAUGAAAAAAAUAUAAAAGAAAAACUGAAAAGAAAGCCAAUAUUUUCAGACUUAGCAGGAAAGACAACUGGGAGCAAAGAAUUCUAACAUUUAAUCUUUGUCAGUCUGUGCUAUGGGUGAGGUGGGAGGGAGGGAGGUGGGGUGGGGUGGGGGUGGGGGGGGACUGACUGUACCAAUGACCGACAGGCUGACUGGCUCUGUAAGGUAAGGAACUGAUUAAAGUGGAGAGAUGUAUUGAUAUGUAUGCAAGGGAGAUGAAGAGGAGGAGGAGGAGUAAUAUUCAAGCUCGGGUAGGACCAUAUAUACUGUUCCUGUCAUAAUUUUGAUACAUAUAUAAAAGAAAAAGAAGGAGAAGAAGGGGAAAUAUCAAAUAAUGGCACUUGUAGAAGGAAUAAGAAGAAGGAGAAGGAGGAGGAAGAGGAGGAGGAUGGGAAAUACCUAAUACUUGACGCUCAUAUAUUGAAGAGGAGGAGGAGGAGGAGGAGGAGGAGAAUAAAGGCGAGGAGGAGAAGGGCUAACACAUGAUAUACUAACGGGAGAACAAACUUGUCAUCGAUACAAUUAAGGAGAAGGAGGAGGAAGGAAGGAAGGAGAAGGAGGCAAAGAACAAUUAAAAGAAACAUCUGACUGAAGUAUCAUACCCAACAAAUUACUGUGAGUGGGUUAAGGACAUGACUGGCCUCCCAUACCAGUCACCACAUGAACAGACUGGUUAUAUACAGAGUUAGGUACAUAUAUACACCACACAAAUAUACAUAUACAUCCAUUAUAGACCCAUCCAUUGGUGAGCUAUGAAUCCUUGCCUAUUCCUCUUUGCACGGUUUCUGAACAAGUGGAGAUGUGUUGAAAACUUACGCCUUUUUGCAAACUUUCUGAACAAGUAGAUGUAUUGAAAACUUACUCCUUUUUGCAAACUUUCUGAACAGGUAGGCGUGUUGAAAACUUACGCCUUUUUGCAAACUUUCUGAACAAGUAGGCGUAUUGAAAACUUACGCCUUUUUGCAAACUUUCUGAACAGGUUAACGUAUUGAAAACUUACGCCUUUUUGCAAACUUUCUGAACAAGUAGACGUAUUGAAAACUUACGCCUUUCUGCAAACUUUCUGAACAGGUAGGCGUAUUGAAAACUUAUGCCUUUUUGCAAACUUUCUGAACAGGUAGGCGUAUUGAAAACUUAUGCCUUUUUGCAAACUUUCUGAACAGGUAAACGUAUUGAAAACUUACGCCUUUUUGCAAACUUUCUGAACAGGUAGACGUAUUGAAAACUUACUCCUUUUUGCAAACUUUCUGAACAGGUUGACGUAUUGAAAACUUACUCCUUUUUGCAAACUUUCUGAACAGGUAGAGACAUAUUGAAAACCUAAGGGGAGAAUUAACACACCUGAGGGGACGAAAUUAACUUGACAAACCCAUGAGAUAAAUUAAAUAUAGUCUUCCCUAAAAUCUAUCCAUCAACGGGAAAACUUGGGACUUUCUACGUAACAUUUAGAACUGAGGGGUGACAGAAGGAAACAGGGAAAGAAUAUAUAUAAAAAAAAAGGAGGGGGAGAGAAAAGAAGAUCGUUAGUAGGUACGGAGACAAAGAGGAAGGAAGACUGUCAACAAGUACGGACAAAUUAGAAAAUGGAAACAGAUACAGGGAGAACCGAGGGUAUUUAUAAUGAGGUAAAACAAGGGUAGGAGUCAAUAUUUAAAGAAGCUGAGGAAGGGAAAGGGAAAGAAUAUAUAAAAAGAAAAGAGAGGGAGAGAAAGGAAUAUUGUUGACAGAUAAGAGUUAGAAGGGAAGGGAAAAAGAUAUAUAUAUAAAAAAAAGAAGAGAGGGAAAGAGAGGACGAUUGUUAACUGAUAAGAGUCCGUAUUUAAAGAAAGCUGAGAGAGAGAGAGAGA